rnacentral:rRNA from 1 species
GACGAACGCUGGCGGCGUGCUUAGCACAUGCAAGUCGAACGCUGAAGCUCAGCUUUUGUUGGGUGGAUGAGUCUCGAACGGGUGAGUAACACGAGAGUAGCCUGCCCCCUUCUUUGGGAUAACGCCCGGAAACGGGUGCUAAUACUGGCUAUUAACUGUUCUUCGCAUGGGGGUUGGUGGACAGGGUUUUUCUGGUGGGGGAUGGGCGCGCGGCGUAUCCGGCUGUUGGUGGUGUGUUGGCCUACCAAGGCUUUGACGGGUAGGCGGCGUGAGAGGGUGACCGGUCACAUUGGGACUGAGAUACGGCCCAGACUCCGACGGGGGGCAGAAGUGGAGAGGAGGGAACAAUGGGCGCAAGCGCGAUGCAGCGACGCCGCGUGAGGGAUGGAGGCCUGCGAGUUGUGAAGCUCUUUGGGUCAUGGUCAAGCCGCAAAAAUGGUGGUGGGGACGGUAGUAGGUAAAGAAGCGCCGGCUAACUACGUG